rnacentral:rRNA from 1 species
AACGAACGCUGGCGGCAUGCCUAACACAUGCAAGUCGAACGAGACCUUCGGGUCUAGUGGCGCACGGGUGCGUAACGCGUGGGAAUCUGCCCUUGGGUUCGGGAGAACAGGUGGAAACGACUGCUAAUACCGGAGGAUGACUUCGGUCCAAAGAUUUAUCGCCCAGGGAUGAGCCCGCGUCGGAUUCGCUAGUUGGUGAGGUAAGAGCUCACCAAGGCGACGAUCCGUAGCUGGUCUGAGAGGAUGAUCCGCCACACUGGGACUGAGACACGGCCCAGACUCCUACGGGAGGCAGCAGUGGGGAAUAUUGGACAAUGGGCGAAAGCAUGAUCCAGCACUGCCGCGUGAGUGAUGAAGGCCUUAGGGUUGUAAAGCUCUUUUACCCGGGAUGAUAAUGACAGUACCGGGAGAAUAAGCCCCGGCUAACUCCGUG